CACAGUAAAAAACCAUUUGACGCGUUUCACCUCAUGGGCUUUAUCAAAAAUAGCCAUUUUUGAUAAAGCCCAUGAGGUGAAACGCAUCAAAUGGUUUUUUACUGUGUAUUUUAACAA